rnacentral:misc_RNA from 1 species
AAAGUCGUAACAAGGUUUCCGUAGGUGAACCUGCGGAAGGAUCAUUAAUGAAUUAAAGGAUGUGCUGGUACUUCGUGGCAAGUGCAGGUGCACUCCUAACCAUUCAAUCCAUUUAUUCACCUGUGAACCUCUUGUAGGGAGGGAGUGGAGUUCUCUCCACAUUCCUGCCUAUGUAUUUUAUAUACACCUAUGAACAAUUUACCAUGACUUGCAAGUCCUUUGACUUUAUCAGUUGAGGGAAAAUGAAAAACAACUUUCAACAACGGAUCUCUUGGUUCUC